rnacentral:rRNA from 1 species
UACAGAGGGUGCAAGCGUUAAUCGGAAUUACUGGGCGUAAAGCGUGCGUAGACGGUUACAUAAGUCGGGUGUGAAAGCCCCGGGCUCAACCUGGGAAUUGCAUUCGAGACUGCGUAGCUAGGGUGCGGAAGAGGGAAGCGGAAUUUCCGGUGUAGCGGUGAAAUGCGCAGAUAUCAGGAGGAACACCGGUGGCGAAGGCGGGUCUCUGGGCCGAUACUGACGCUGAGGAGCGAAAGCGUGGGGAGCGAACAGG